rfam:Rattus norvegicus chromosome 8, whole genome shotgun sequence.
GGGGAUUUAGCUCAGUGGUAGAGCGCUUGCCUAGCAAGCUCAAGGUCCUGGGUUCGGUCCCCAGCUCCG